AUGAAGAUGAAUGAUUAUAUGGGGAAGUUAAAUACAGCAAAAGUAGAUUUUUUCCAGCUAAGGUCAUUGUUCUGUUCGUAGUUAAAUAGCAAUUAGAUGUGUCUGUGAGUAGUUGUUCAUGUGGAACUUGUGGGUUAGUGGAAAUUUUUCGGGCUACGGUUGCAAGUCUGACGGGGGAUCAUAAUAAUACGUGAGCAUGCCGGAAGCUAAAUUGGCCAAGGAGAAGAUGUACGGGAGAAUGGCCUGUGGCCGCCCUUUUGUUGUUUGUCUUGCCAGCGAGAAGUACAUGAUUGAAGGAGCAGAUAAAGCCUUUCUGGUAGCAGUUCCGGACAAAUCAGUCGAAGUGCUAAAAUAACUGCAAUAAAGAAUAAAUUGAAGGCCAUGGAGCAAGAGUGCCAUAACUCAAACAAACAGAAGCCCGAUGAUGUUUCUUGAUCUCAUAAUAUCGAUAGUAGACUAAAGAAACUAAAAUGGCAUCUUCAUGGACUUCUGCUUCGUGUCUGAAGAUUUAAUGAAUAUCCAGAAUGUGUAUAUACUCACAGGAAAAUAUUGAAUUGUAGUCGUAUCAAGAAAGCAGAAAUUUUUGACACUAGUUUCGGUGCGUCACAUUACAUUAUUACCAAUGGAUGUAAUGAUUUUACUAAUCUUUCUUUGUUUCGAUUCACUCUCCUGAUCUUAUUACAAUAAAUUGUUUAGGAUACUGAUUACCAUUCUUGAAUUUCUU
rnacentral:lncRNA from 1 species